rnacentral:rRNA from 1 species
AACGAACGCUGGCGGCAUGCCUAAUACAUGCAAGUCGAACGAUCACUUCGGUGGUAGUGGCGCACGGGUGCGUAACGCGUGGGAAUCUACCCUUGGGUUCGGAAUAACAGUUAGAAAUGACUACUAAUACCGGAUGAUGACGAAAGUCCAAAGAUUUAUCGCCCAAGGAUGAGCCCGCGUAGGAUUAGCUAGUUGGUGAGGUAAAAGCUCACCAAGGCGACGAUCCUUAGCUGGUCUGAGAGGAUGAUCAGCCACACUGGGACUGAGACACGGCCCAGACUCCUACGGGAGGCAGCAGUAGGGAAUAUUGGACAAUGGGGGCAACCCUGAUCCAGCAAUGCCGCGUGAGUGAUGAAGGCCUUAGGGUUGUAAAGCUCUUUUACCCGAGAUGAUAAUGACAGUAUCGGGAGAAUAAGCUCCGGCUAACUCCGUGCCAGCCGCCGCCGUAAAAC